rnacentral:rRNA from 1 species
UACGUAGGGGGCAAGCGUUGUCCGGAAUCAUUGGGCGUAAAGCGCGCGUAGGCGGCCCGGUAAGUCCGCUCUGAAAGUCCAGGGCUCAACCCUGGAAAGCGGGUGGAUACUGCCGGGCUAGAAUCCGGAAGAGGCGAGUGGAAUUCCUGGUGUAGCGGUGAAAUGCGCAGAUAUCAGGAGGAACACCUAUUGCGAAGGCAGCUCGCUGGGACGUAACUGACGCUGAGACGCGAAAGCGUGGGGAGCAAACAGG